rnacentral:rRNA from 1 species
GACGAACGCUGGCGGCGUGCCUAAUACAUGCAAGUCGAACGCUUCUUUCCUCCCGAGUGCUUGCACUCAAUUGGAAAGAGGAGUGGCGGACGGGUGAGUAACACGUGGGUAACCUACCCAUCAGAGGGGGAUAACACUUGGAAACAGGUGCUAAUACCGCAUAACAGUUUAUGCCGCAUGGCAUAAGAGUGAAAGGCGCUUUCGGGUGUCGCUGAUGGAUGGACCCGCGGUGCAUUAGCUAGUUGGUGAGGUAACGGCUCACCAAGGCCACGAUGCAUAGCCGACCUGAGGGGGUGAUCGGCCACACUGGGACUGAGACACGGCCCAGACUCCGACGGGAGGCAGCGGUAGGGAAUCUUCGGCAAUGGACGGAAGUCUGACCGAGCAACGCCGCGUGAGUGAAGAAGGUUUUCGGAUCGUAAAACUCUGUUGUUAGAGAAGAACAAGGACGUUAGUAACUGAACGUCCCCUGACGGUAUCUAACCAGAAAGCCACGGCUAACUACGUGCCAGCCGCCGCGGUAA